rnacentral:rRNA from 1 species
UACGUAGGGUGCAAGCGUUGUCCGGAAUUAUUGGGCGUAAAGAGCUCGUAGGCGGUCUGUCGCGUCUGCUGUGAAAACUCGAGGCUUAACCUCGAGAUGUCAUCGGAAACCAUCUGGCUAGAGUCCGGAAGAGGAGAGUGGAAUUCCUGGUGUAGCGGUGAAAUGCGCAGAUAUCAGGAAGAACACCAAUGGCGAAAGCAGCUCUCUGGGACGGUACUGACGCUGAGACGCGAAAGCGUGGGGAGCGAACAGG